ACACUGACGUCGCGACGCAUAUCAAUAAGCGGAGGAAAAGAAACUAACAAGGAUUCCCUAGUAACGGCGAGUGAAGCGGGAAGAGCUCAAAUUUGAAAUCUUAAAGGUUUUCCCUUGACGAAUUGUAGUUUAAAGAAGUGUUUUCUGUUGGAGUUUUGGUAAAAGUUCUUUGGAAUAGGACAUCAUAGAGGGUGAGAAUCCCGUAUUUGACCAUUUACUUUCAAGCCUGUGUGAUACACUUUCAAAGAGUCGGAUUGUUUGGGAAUGCAGUCCAAAAUGGGUGGUAAAUUUCAUCUAAAGCUAAAUAUUGGCGAGAGACCGAUAGCGAACAAGUACCGUGAUGGGAAAGAUGAAAAGAACUUUGAAAAGAGAGUUAAACAGUACGUGAAAUUGUCAAAAGGGAAGCGUUUGACACCAGUGUUGUUUUUCUGAAAAUCAAUUAAAGAACUGUUUAUGCUAAGUUGUUUAGACUUUAUCAGCUAACUGUUUAGUUUUGAGCUUUUCUUUAAUGCACUUUUCAGUUAACAAGUCAACAUCAAUUUCUUUUGCUGUAAAAAAGCAUGAGGGAGGUGGCUUGAGAUUCGUCUUAAGUGUUUAUAGCCUCUUGCCUAUGCAGUCGGAGAGAUUGAGGUCUGCAGGCGUAGAUCCUUCGGGGCUAAAUGCAUUUGUGCUAAGUUAUAGCAUUUUAUAGACAACUUGUUGACUAUGAUUUGUCUUGUAGCUUACUCGCUUAUGUUAUUUUACCUACGCUUAGGAUGUUGAGCGCAUGUCUCUCUCU
rnacentral:rRNA from 1 species